rnacentral:lncRNA from 1 species
GCAUUUCAAACCUUAUCAGCAAUGCAGCAUCUGUAAGUAUGCAUGUUUAUAGAAUAAUAGUUGUGGUAUGAGUGCCUUUGAGACAACUCUCUAUCCAAGUCACAAGGUGUAAAAAUAUGAAUCAUUAUAAGUCAACGUAUGGCCUUCAACUCUGAGCCUUCGCUCACAUCGAACAGCAAACUGUGAACGACCCCAUAAUGACUAGUGUAAAACAAUUGAAACUGGAAAACAAAUGGUGUAAUCUUUAUAAAAAAGAAAGGAAAAACAAUUAUGAACC